rnacentral:rRNA from 1 species
AUUGAACGCUGGCGGCAGGCCUAACACAUGCAAGUCGAACGAGUGGCGGACGGGUGAGUAAUGUCUGGGAAACUGCCUGAUGGAGGGGGAUAACUACUGGAAACGGUAGCUAAUACCGCAUACCAUCGGAUGUGCCCAGAUGGGAUUAGCUAGUUGGUGGGGUAACGGCUCACCUAGGCGACGAUCCCUAGCUGGUCUGAGUGGAUGACCAGCAAAACUGGAACGGAGACACGGUCCAGACUCGUCCGGGAGGAAGCAGUGGGGAAUAUUGCACAUGGGGCGCAAGCUGGAGGCAGCCAUGCCGCGUGUAUGAAGAAGGCCUUCGGGUUUUAAAGUACUUUCAGCGGGGAGGCGUUACCCGCAGAAGAAGCACCGGCUAACUCCGUGCCAGCAGCCGCGGUAAUUC